CCCUCCCUAACUCAGUGGUCAGAGUGCUCGGCUGUAGACCGAGAAUAUAAAUAAACUCAAAAAAUAUCGGGAACGGUCCCCGGCUCAAAUCCGGGGGGAGGGACCA
rnacentral:tRNA from 1 species